rnacentral:rRNA from 1 species
UCAGACGAUGCGUCAUGCAUAUCAAUAAGCGGAGGAAAAGAAACUAACUAGGAUUCCCUUAAUAACGGCGAGUGAAGCGGGAAGAGCUCAAAUUUGAAAUCUUCAAGGUUUGACCUUGACGAAUUGUAGUUUAAAGAAGUGUUUUCGGUUAGAGGAGUGGUAAAAGUUCUUUGGAAUAGGACAUCAUAGAGGGUGAGAAUCCCGUAUUUGACCAUUAUUUUCAGCUGUGUGAUACACUUUCAAAGAGUCGGAUUGUUUGGGAAUGCAGUCCAAAAUGGGUGGUAAAUUUCAUCUAAAGCUAAAUAUUGGCGAGAGACCGAUAGCGAACAAGUACCGUGAGGGAAAGAUGAAAAGAACUUUGAAAAGAGAGUUAAACAGUACGUGAAAUUGUCAAAAGGGAAGCGUUUGACACCAGUGUUGUUUUCUCGAAAAUCAAUUAAAAAGAGUUGGAUUUUGCGUUGUAUUGACCUUAACAGCUUGCUUCACUCUUUUCCUGCUUUUUUUAAUGCACUUUUCGUUUAACAAGUCAACAUCAGUUUCUUUUGUUGUAAAAGGGUCAUUGGAAGGUGGCUUUCUCUUCGGAGAAAGUGUUUAUAGCCUUUGAUCUCUGCAAUCGGAGAGACUGAGGUCUGCAGCGUAGAUCCUUCGGGGUUAGAUACAUUUGUGCUAAGCUACAGCUUUUCAUAGACAACUUGUUGACUAUGUUUAGUCUUGUAACUUACCCGCUUAUGCUAUUUUACCUACGCUUAGGAUGUUGAUAUGCAUGACUGAUAU